UAGUGCUGCAAUGUAAACAUUGCAGUUCCCUGGAACUGCAAUGUUUUACAUUGCAGCACUA
rnacentral:miRNA from 1 species